rnacentral:lncRNA from 1 species
GGUUGCCAUGGGGACCUUGGAUGCAUAACUAUAGCAGGAGAAAGAAGGCUUGAAGCUAAGGAAACAGGACUCCAAGUAGGCCCUGACGCUCAUCCUCUGUAUCUAUUCCUGAUAAGGAGCUUAUGAGAACACAAGACUCUGCUGAACACAUUAAUACAAUUUAUUAUCACAAUCCUCAAAACACCCCAUAAUAUCUUCAAUGAGCUGAAUUUUAGAAGCCCAGAAUGGUUUCUGUAGCUCAAAGUUUGUGGGUGGAGAUAGGUGGCGAAGCAGACACAUAUUAACUGUGUGUACAAGCAGCUGAACUGCAAGGUAGACCUCAUAAAGCAACAAGUACAAGAGUGUGUGUGUGUGUGUGUGUGUGUCGUUAAUGACUGCAUCCUAAACAGCUGUGAGAUCAAAGGCAAAUCACUGACCUACUGUUUGAAUGAGAAGCAGCUGAACUGCAGAGGAUUUAGAGGCUCUAAACUUCUUCACAUAGCGUGAUUUCCUUAAGUCACAGAAUGAAAAUAAGAACAUCGUACGAAUCCUCCGCCCUUCAUGAACACAAUGAUGUCUUUUUCAUGUCUGUACUUCGAAAAAUGAGGCCACAACAGCGAGUUAAAAAAGUCUGAGCCUGAGUGGCGAUAAGGAUUUUCUUGGAGAAAAAAUACAUUAUGGUCAAUGGGAGAGAUUUCCGCCUUUUUUGGACAGUUGGUCACCUGCUGGCCAAGGGGUACGAUUUAAUGAUUUGAAACCUCUUUUGUGAGAAGCAGGACACAUAUACCUCCAUUUUGAUGUAUUAUUUGUGUCAGUGGAGUGAGAUUUGUGGGCGUGGGAGCGAUAUAUUCGAGCGAGGUUCUGUCGAUCAGAGACGAGGUCUGCACUCUAGCUGAUGACAUCAUCACUCUAAACUCUCCAAUACACACCCAUUAUAAAGCUUGAAAUUUGCUGAAAACCACAAGUUGCUUAAAGCUAAAUUGUGGAAAAACUGUAAGAGAUAUCAAAAAACUGAGUACAACUGUAAUAGUCGACAAGUGAAUGAACAUUUUAAAGCAAAAAUGAGGUCUCUAGGUGAAAGUAUGCAGAAGUUACAAGGUUCAGAAGGUGGAAGAAAAACAGGAAGAAUUGGAAGAUUUCCCCAUUGACUUCAAUGUUAAAAUUUUUGCAUAAAAAGUUAAAAAAAUCAAAAAGUAUAAAGGGUAGAAAAGUGAAAAGUAAUCGCCGUCAUGUCCUGAAGGAGAGGAAUAGUUUAAAGUUUGAACGGUUGAAAUCGCACAAAGUGGAGAAGAGUUAUAAAGUGCCAAAAAAUGGCGGAAGAAAAAUAAUAAUAAUAAUAAUAACUAGAAAAUUUGCAUUUCCUUGCAGAAAAUGCGUGGAAAUGCUGAGUGCUGAAAGCUGAAAAAGCAAUGCUAAACUGCUAAUAAAACAUGGAGAAAGGUAUAAAUGUAAAAGCUGUUGAAGGGGUAAAAAAAUAUAUAUAAGUUAAAUAAUUGUGAAAAUGGUUGGAGGAUAAAUAGUAUGAAUAUGCUCCUCAAAUUGAAAUUUGAUUCAUGCUGAUAGAGGCUGGAAAAUGUUCUACAAUUACACAAAGUUUGAAUGAAGAAGUAAAUUACCUUAAAAGGCAAGUAAGUGAAAAGUGGCAUAAGUUUAAGUUGUAGUACUAGAAGUAGUAUGAUAAUAGGUAGUUGUAGUAGUGAUAUUAGUAGUCAUGUAAGCAGUAGAAGUAGUUUUAGAAUUGAAGAAGUAGAAGUCAAAGCAGUAGAGCUCGUGGUAGAAGUAAGAGUAGAAGUAAAAAAAUAUUAAGAGAAGCAAGAGCAGUGGAGGUGGAAGUGAAGAUACAAGUUAAGGUGACAUAAGUAGUAAUUGUAGUGGUAGAACUGGGAUUUUGCUUGAAGAAUUAAAACAUACAUAAAUAAUGAGAAUGAUUUUGAAGUGGGAAAAACUUAAAAAUUAGACGUCCUAAUGUGUUUAACAGGUUUGAAGUAUCCCAAAGGUUUGAAUCAGUUUGAAUGAGUUUGGAUUUGUCUGAAGAAUUUCAUAAUGCAUGAAUAAUGAGAAUAAUUUUAAAGUGGGAAAAAGUUAAAUGAAUAAAAAUCCUGAGUACACCCCAUAUUGUCCUCAAUGAGCUGAAUUUUUGGAGCCCUGAAUGGUUUCUGUAGGUCAAAGUUUGUAGUCCUCGCUUUGUGGGUCUUUUCUCAUAGACCUCACAAAGCAGCAAGUACAAGAUUUUGUGUGUGUGUCUCGUUAAUGACUGCAUCCUAAACAGCUGUGAGAUCAAAGGCAUUAACUGACCUACUGUUUGACUGAGAAGCAGCUGAACUGCAGAGGAUGUAAAGCCUCUGAACUUCUUCACAUUGUGUGAUUUCCUUAAGUCCCAGAAUGAAAAUAAGAACAUCGUACGAAUCCUCCGUCCUUCAUGAACACAAUGAUGUGUUUUUCAUGUCUGUACUUCGAAAAAUGAGGCCACAACAGCGAGUUAAAAAAGUCUGAGCUUGAGCGAUGAUCCGGAUUUUCUUGGAGAAAAAUAACAUUACAGUCAAUGGGAGAGAUUUCCGCCUUUUUUGGACAGUUGGUCACCUGCUGGCCAAGGGGUACGAUUUAAUGAUUUGAAACCUCUUUUGUGAGAAGCAGGACACAUAUACCUCCAUUUUGAUGUAUUAUUUGUGUCAGUGGAGUGAGAUUUGUGGGCGUGGGAGCGAUAUAUUCGAGCGAGGUUCUGUCGAUCAGAGACGAGGUCUGCACUCUAGCUGAUGACAUCAUCACUCUAAACUCUCCAAUACACACCCAUUAUAAAGCUUGAAAUUUGCUGAAAACCACAAGUUGCUUAAAGCUAAAUUGUGGAAAAACUGUAAGAGAUAUCAAAAAACUGAGUACAACUGUAAUAGUCGACAAGUGAAUGAACAUUUUAAAACAAAAAUGAGGUCUCUAGGUGAAAGUAUGCAGAAGUUACAAGGUUCAGAAGGUGGAAGAAAAACAGGAAGAAUUGGAAGAUUUCCCCAUUGACUUCAAUGUUAAAAUUUUUGCAUAAAAAGUUAAAAAAAUCAAAAAGUAUAAAGGGUAGAAAAGUGAAAAGUAAUCGCCGUCAUGUCCUGAAGGAGAGGAAUAGUUUAAAGUUUGAACGGUUGAAAUCGCACAAAGUGGAGAAGAGUUAUAAAGUGCCAAAAAAUGGCGGAAGAAAAAUAAUAAUAACUAGAAAAUUUGCAUUUCCUUGCAGAAAAUGCGUGGAAAUGCUGAGUGCUGAAAGCUGAAAAAGCAAUGCUAAACUGCUAAUAAAACAUGGAGAAAGGUAUAAAUGUAAAAGCUGUUGAAGGGGUAAAAAAAUAUAUAUAAGUUAAAUAAUUGUGAAAAUGGUUGGAGGAUAAAUAGUAUGAAUAUGCUCCUCAAAUUGAAAUUUGAUUCAUGCUGAUAGAGGCUGGAAAAUGUUCUACAAUUACACAAAGUUUGAAUGAAGAAGUAAAUUACCUUAAAAGGCAAGUAAGUGAAAAGUGGCAUAAGUUUAAGUUGUAGUACUAGAAGUAGUAUGAUAAUAGGUAGUUGUAGUAGUGAUAUUAGUAGUCAUGUAAGCAGUAGAAGUAGUUUUAGAAUUGAAGAAGUAGAAGUCAAAGCAGUAGAGCUCGUGGUAGAAGUAAGAGUAGAAGUAAAAAAAUAUUAAGAGAAGCAAGAGCAGUGGAGGUGGAAGUGAAGAUACAAGUUAAGGUGACAUAAGUAGUAAUUGUAGUGGUAGAACUGGGAUUUUGCUUGAAGAAUUAAAAAAUACAUAAAUAAUGAGAAUGAUUUUGAAGUGGGAAAAACUCAAAAAAUUAGACGUCCUAAUGUGUUUAACAGGUUUGAAGUAUCCCAAAGGUUUGAAUCAGUUUGAAUGAGUUUGGAUUUGUCUGAAGAAUUUCAUAAUGCAUGAAUAAUGAGAAUAAUUUUAAAGUGGGAAAAAGUUAAAUGAAUAAAAAUCCUGAGUACACCCCAUAUUGUCCUCAAUGAGCUGAAUUUUUGGAGCCCUGAAUGGUUUCUGUAGGUCAAAGUUUGUAGUCCUCGCUUUGUGGGUCUUUUCUCAUAGACCUCGCAAAGCAGCAAGUACAAGAUUUUGUGUGUGUGUCUCGUUAAUGACUGCAUCCUAAACAGCUGUGAGAUCAAAGGCAUUAACUGACCUACUGUUUGACUGAGAAGCAGCUGAACUGCAGAGGAUGUAAAGCCUCUGAACUUCUUCACAUAGCGUGAUUUCCUUAAGUCCCAGAAUGAAAAUAAGAACAUUGUACGAAUCCUCCGCCCUUCAUGAACACAAUGAUGUGUUUUUCAUGUCUGUACUCCAAGAAAUGUGGCCACAACAGUGAGUUAAAAAAGUCUGAGCCUGAGUGGCGAUAAGGAUUUUCUUGGAGAAAAAAUACAUUAGGGCUAAUGGGAGAGAUUUCCGCCUAUUUGAACAGUUGGUCACCUGCUGGCCAAGGGGUAGGAUUUAAUGAUUUGAAACCUCUUUUGUGAGAAGCAGGACACAUAUACCUCCAUUUUGAUGUAUUUUUUAUGUCUGUGGAGUGAGAUUUGUAGGCGUGGGAGCGAUAUAUUCGAGCGAGGUUCUGUCGAUCAGAGACGAAGUCUGCACUCUAGCUUUUCAAAUUGUCACUCUAGCCUCUCCAAUACACACCCAUUAUAAAGCUUGAAAUUUGCUGAAAACCACAAGUUGCUUAAAGCUAAAUUGUGGAAGAACUGUAAAAGAUAUCAAAAAACUGACUACAACUGUAAUAGUCGACAAGACAAUGAACAUUUUAAAGCAAAAAUGAGGUCUCUAGGUGAAAGUAUGCAGAAGUUAUAAGGUUCAGAAGGUGGAAGAAUAACAGGAAGAAUUGGAAGAUUUCCCCAUUGACUUCAAUGUUAAAAUUUUUGCAUAAAAAGUUAAAAAAAUCAAAAAGUAUAAAGGGUAGAAAAGUGAAAAGUAAUCGCCGUCAUGUCCUGAAGGAGAGGAAUAGUUUAAAGUUUGAACGGUUGAAAUCGCACAAAGUGGAGAAGAGUUAUAAAGUGCCAAAAAAUGGCGGAAGAAAAAUAAUAAUAAUAACUAGAAAAAUUGCAUUUCCUUGCAGAAAAUGCGUGGAAAUGCUGAGUGCUGAAAGCUGAAAAAGCAAUGCUAAACUGCUCAUAAAACAUGGAGAAAGGUAUAAAUGUUAAAGCUGUUGAAGGGGUGAGAAAGAAAUGUAAGUUGGAUAAUUGAUUAAUUGGUUGAAGGACAAAUAGUAUGAAUAUGCUCUAUAAAUGGAAGUUUUAUUCAUGCUGAAAGAGGCUAGAAAAAUGUCUACAAUUGCACAAAGUUUGAAUGAAGAAGGAAACUGCCUUAAAAGGCAGGAAGGUGAGAAGUGGCAUAAGUUUAAGUUGUAGUACUAGAAGUAGUAUAAUAGGUCAAGUCGUGAUACUAGUAGUCAUGUCAGCAGUAGAAGUAGUUUGAGAAUAAAAGAAGUAUAAAUCACAAUAGUAGAGAAAGUAGAAAUAGGAGCAAUAGCAGUUGAAGUAGAGGGGAUAGUACUAGUUUAAUUGACAUUAGCGGUAGUUGUCGUACUUGAGGUAGGAUUUUGUUUGAAGGAUGGAGUAAAGCAUAAAUAUUAAAACUUAUUUCAAACAGGGAAAAUUUAAAUAAUUAAAAAUCCUCAAGUAUCAGAAAGUUUUAAAGUAUUAGAAAGGUUUGAAUCAGUUUGAAUGAGUUUAAAUUAGUUUGAAAAAUUAAAUGAUAAAUCAUCACUGAGUGACUUUAAAAUGUGAAAAAUUUAAAUGAAUAUAAAUCCUGAAUACACCCCAUAAUGUCCUCAAUGAGCUUAAAUUUUAAAGCCCUGAAUGGUUUCUGUAGGUCAAAGGUCAUGUGAGGAGAUAGGGGCUGAAGUUUUUUCAAGCGCUCUAGGAAAGGGUUUUAAGUGUCAUCCCCAGUGCUAUGUGUACUGAGCCUGGCUUCAUGUGUCUCAUAUGGCCACUAGAAGCAGCUUUCCAGUCAGCUGUGUGUCUCCAGGUGCACAAAUUGGUUGCCAUGGGGACCUUGGAUGCAUAACUAUAGCAGGAGAAAGAAGGCUUGAAGCUAAAGAAACAGGACUCCAAGAAGGCCCUGACGCUCACCCUCUGUAUAUAUUCAUAAGGAGCUUGUGAGAACACAAGACUCUGCUGAACACAUUAAUACAAUUUAUCACAAUCCUCAAAACACCCCAUAAUAUCUUCAAUGAGCUGAAUUUUUGAAGCCCAGAAUGGUUUCUGUAGCUCAAAGUUUGUGGGUGGAGAUAGGUGGCGAAGCAGACACAUAUUAACUGUGUGUACAAGCAGCUGAACUGCGAGGUGGACCUAAAAAAGCAACAAGUACAAGAAUGUGUGUGUGUGUGUGUCUCGUUAAUGACUGCAUCCUAAACAGCUGUGAGAUCAAAGGCAAAUCACUAACCUACUGUUUGACUGAGAGGUGCUGAACUGCAGUGAAUUUCAGCCUGUGAACUUCUUCACAUAGCGUGAUUUCCUUAAGUCCCAGAAUGAAAAUAAGAACAUCGUACGAAUCCUCCGUCCUUCAUGAACACAAUGAUGUGUU